rnacentral:rRNA from 1 species
AUUGAACGCUGGCGGAAUGCUUUACACAUGCAAGUCGAACGGCAGCACGGGGGCAACCCUGGUGGCGAGUGGCGAACGGGUGAGUAAUACAUCGGAACGUGCCCGGUCGUGGGGGAUAACGUAGCGAAAGUUACGCUAAUACCGCAUACGAUCUGAGGAUGAAAGCGGGGACCUUCGGGCCUCGCGCGAUCGGAGCGGCCGAUGUCAGAUUAGGUAGUUGGUGGGGUAAAGGCCUACCAAGCCGACGAUCUGUAGCUGGUCUGAGAGGACGACCAGCCACACUGGGACUGAGACACGGCCCAGACUCCUACGGGAGGCAGCAGUGGGGAAUUUUGGACAAUGGGCGCAAGCCUGAUCCAGCCAUUCCGCGUGCAGGACGAAGGCCUUCGGGUUGUAAACUGCUUUUGUAUGGAACGAAAAGGCUCUGGCUAAUACCUGGGGCUCAUGACGGUACCGUAAGAAUAAGCACCGGCUAACUACGUG